rnacentral:misc_RNA from 1 species
GAUGAAGAACGCAGCGAAAUGCGAUAAGUAAUGCGAAUUGCAGAAUUCCAGUGAGUCAUCGAAUCUUUGAACGCACAUUGCGCCCCUUGGUAUUCCAUGGGGCAUGCCUGUUCGAGCGUCAUUUGUACCUUCAAGCUCUGCUUGGUGUUGGGUGUUUGUCUCGCCUCUGCGUGUAGACUCGCCUCAAAACAAUUGGCAGCCGGCGUAUUGAUUUCGGAGCGCAGUACAUCUCGCGCUUUGCACUCAUAACGACGACGUCCAAAAGUACAUUUUUACACUCUUGACCACGGAUCAGGUAGGGAUACCCGCUGAACUUAAGCAUAUCAAUAAGCGGAGGA